rnacentral:tRNA from 1 species
GGCCCCGAGGUAUUUCAUAUAAGAUUGCAAAUCUUAAGAAGCAGGCUAAUUUCCCUGCCGGGGCUU